UACGGGGGGGGCAAGCGUUGUUCGGAAUUACUGGGCGUAAAGGGCUCGUAGGCGGCCAACUACGUCUGCCGUGAAAUCCCUCGGCUUAACCGGGGAACUGCAUCUGAUACUGGAUGGCUUGAGAUUGGGAGAGGGAUGCGGAAUUCCAGGUGUAGCGGUGAAAUGCGUAGAUAUCUGGAGGAACACCGGUGGCGAAGGCGGCAUCCUGGACCAACACUGACGCUGAGGCACGAAAGCUAGGGGAGCAAACAGG
rnacentral:rRNA from 1 species